rnacentral:rRNA from 1 species
AACGAACGCUGGCGGCAGGCCUAACACAUGCAAGUCGAGCGAGGACUUCGGUUCUAGCGGCGGACGGGUGAGUAACGCGUGGGAAUGUGCCCUUCUCUACGGAAUAGCCCUGGGAAACUGGGAGUAAUACCGUAUACGCCCUAUCGGGGAAAGAUUUAUCGGAGAAGGAUCAGCCCGCGUUGGAUUAGGUAGUUGGUGGGGUAAUGGCCUACCAAGCCGACGAUCCAUAGCUGGUCUGAGAGGAUGAUCAGCCACACUGGGACUGAGACACGGCCCAGACUCCUACGGGAGGCAGCAGUGGGGAAUCUUAGACAAUGGGGGCAACCCUGAUCUAGCCAUGCCGCGAGAGUGAUGAAGGCCUUAGGGUUGUAAAGCUCUUUCAGCUGGGAAGAUAAUGACGGUACCAGCAGAAGAAGCCCCGGCUAACUCCGUG